GGGUGCGCGGCUAUACUGCAGUCGAGCGGACCAGAAGGGAGCUUGCUCCCGGAUGUUAGCGGCGGACGGGUGAGUAACACGUGGGUAACCUGCCUGUAAGACUGGGAUAACUCCGGGAAACCGGAGCUAAUACCGGAUAGUUCCUUGAACCGCAUGGUUCAAGGAUGAAAGACGGUUUCGGCUGUCACUUACAGAUGGACCCGCGGCGACCAUUACGCUAGUUCCCCGCCUGUGGAGGUAACCGGCUGCAUCCCUAAAGGCCCGACGACUGCGUAUGCCGGGACGCUGAGAAGGGUGAUCGGUUCCACACUGAAGGAUUUGCCCCCUGGGGAUGGACACGGCCCAGACUCCUACGGGAGGCAGCAGUAGGGAAUCUUCCGCAAUGGACGAAAGUCUGACGGAGCAACGCCGCGUGAGUGAUGAAGGUUUUCGGAUCGUAAAGCUCUGUUGUUAGGGAAGAACAAGUGCAAGAGUAACUGCUUGCACCUUGACGGUACCUAACCAGAAAGCCACGGCUAACUACGUGCCAGCAGCCGCGGUAAUACGUAGGUGGCAAGCGUUGUCCGGAAUUAUUGGGCGUAAAGGGCUCGCAGGCGGUUUCUUAAGUCUGAUGUGAAAGCCCCCGGCUCAACCGGGGAGGGUCAUUGGAAACUGGGAAACUUGAGUGCAGAAGAGGAGAGUGGAAUUCCACGUGUAGCGGUGAAAUGCGUAGAGAUGUGGAGGAACACCAGUGGCGAAGGCGACUCUCUGGUCUGUAACUGACGCUGAGGAGCGAAAGCGUGGGGAGCGAACAGGAUUAGAUACCCUGGUAGUCCACGCCGUAAACGAUGAGUGCUAAGUGUUAGGGGGUUUCCGCCCCUUAGUGCUGCAGCUAACGCAUUAAGCACUCCGCCUGGGGAGUACGGUCGCAAGACUGAAACUCAAAGGAAUUGACGGGGGCCCGCACAAGCGGUGGARCCAUGUGGUUUAAUUCGAAGCAACGCGAAGAACCUUACCAGGUCUUGACAUCCUCUGACAACCCUAGAGAUAGGGCUUUCCCUUCGGGGACAGAGUGACAGGUGGUGCAUGGUUGUCGUCAGCUCCGUGUCGUGAGAUGUUGGGUUAAGUCCCGCAACGAGCGCAACCCUUGAUCUUAGUUGCCAGCAUUCAGUUGGGCACUCUAAGGUGACUGCCGGUGACAAACCGGAGGAAGGUGGGGAUGACGUCAAAUCAUCAUGCCCCUUAUGACCUGGGCUACACACGUGCUACAAUGGACAGAACGGGUGAAAGGGCUGCGAGACCGCAAUGGUGCUUUGGGAGGCCAAUCACCACGAGGUGGCCCAAUCUGUUCUCAGUUCGGAAUCCGCAGUCAUCACGCAACUCGAUCUGGUCGUGAAGCUGGAAUCGCUAGUAAUCGCGGAUCAGCAUGCCGCGGUGAAUACGUUCCCGGGCCUUGUACACACCGCCCGUCACACCACGAGAGUUUGCAACACCCGAAGUCGGUGAGGUAACCUUUAUGGAGCCAGCCGCCGAAGAGAUCC
rnacentral:rRNA from 1 species